rfam:Lactococcus raffinolactis 4877 genomic scaffold, Scaffold1482
UAGAAAUACGUUCCUUUGCGUGUUUUGAAUGGGCAUAGAGAAAAGGUUGACUAAAUCUAAUUCUCUAUGCUUUUAUUAUAUCA